rnacentral:rRNA from 1 species
UACGAAGGAUGCGAGCGUUAUCCGGAUUUAUUGGGUUUAAAGGGUGCGCAGGCGGCCUUAUAAGUCAGUGGUGAAAUCCUAUCGCUUAACGAUAGACGUGCCAUUGAUACUGUAGGGCUUGAGUACAGAUGCCGUUGGCGGAAUGUGUCAUGUAGCGGUGAAAUGCAUAGAUAUGACACAGAACACCGAUUGCGAAGGCAGCUGACGAAACUGUAACUGACGCUGAGGCACGAAAGCGUGGGGAUCAAACAGG